GUCAAAUUUAAAAUCUGGCAGUCUUUGGCUGUCUGAGUUGUAAUCUAGAGAAGUGUUGCCUGCAUUGGACCGUGUACAAGUCUUCUGGAAUGAAGCGUCAUAGAGGGUGAGAAUCCCGUCUUUGACAUGGACUCCCAAUGUAUUGUGGCAUGCUCUCAAAGAGUCGAGUUGUUUGGGAAUGCAGCUCUAAAUGGGUGGUAACCUCCAUCUAAAGCUAAAUAUUGGCAAGAGACCGAUAGUGAACAAGUACCGUGAGGGAAAGAUGAAAAGAACUUUGGAAAGAGAGUUAAACAGUACGUGAAAUUGUUGAAAGGGAAACACUUGAAGUCAGUUGCAUUGGCCAGGGAUCAGCCUAGCUCUUUUGCUUAGUGUACUUCCUGGUUGAUGGGCCAACAUGAGUUUUGACUGGCAGAGAAGGGCAGAGGGAAUGUGGCACCUCUGGGUGUGUUUAUAGCCUUCUGUCACAUAUGUCAGUUGGGACUGAGGGAUGCAGCAUGCCGCAAGGCCAGGUCAUUUUUGACCAUGUUCAUGCUUUGGAUGUUGGCAUAAUGGCUUUAAUUGACCCGUCUUGAAACACGGACCAAGGAGUCUAACAUACCUGCGAGUGUUUGGGUGGAAAACCCGGGUGCAUAAUGAAAGUGAAAGUUGAGAUCCCUGUCAUAGGGAGCAUCGACGCCCGGACCUGAGCUUUUAGCAAAGGAUCUGCGGUAGAGCAUGUAUGUUGGGACCCGAAAGAUGGUGAACUAUGCCUGAAUAGGGCGAAGCCAGAGGAAACUCUGGUGGAGGCUCGUAGCGAUUCUGACGUGCAAAUCGAUC
rnacentral:rRNA from 1 species